UGCUCUCUAUUCCCCAAACGGCUUUCUUGCUUUCAUGUUUCUGCCUUUGCCUGCAAAGGUCUUUCUCUGUGAGCCUCUGGCUGGUGCAGCAUUUCCAAGCCCUUAGGACAUCCACGCGUGCUUUGUGCCUGCCAGCAUGCCAGGUUUUCAUGUGUGCCGUAAACUUCUACCUACCCCAUGGGCACCUCUUGUUCCCUGUCUUUUAGGAUUGCUGUGGUGCUGUUUGAAUAAGAACUUCUAUGAGGGUGCUUCAAAGGCUUCAUGGAAAAAGAUGAAAGUUCUUUGGAGGUAGAGAAAUUCACAGUGACCUGGAACACAGCAUUAUCAGUCCUGAGGUCAUUCCCCUGCUUGGACCUUCACAAACGGAAUUUCUUCCUAGAAGUCUAACCUGAAGUAUACUUCUAAAGAAAAGAAGGUCUACAUGUUCAAGAACUUCACUGCAACAUCAUUGGCAAUUGUGAAAUAUUGGAAAAGAUCUAAAUGUCCAUAUGUGGAAGAAAGACUAAAGAAGCAAUUGUUCUUCCACGCAUGGAUUCCUACGUAUCUGUCAAAAAAGGAAUGAGGAAAGUCUAUAAACCAACAAGUAGUGAUUUUCUAGGAUAUAUUAUUAAGUGAGCAAUAGCCAAAUAAAAGUAUAUUGAUAGUAUGCUGUUUAUUUAAGAAAAAGUGGGAUAUUAAAACCAUAUGCAUGUAUAUGCUCAUUUAUGCAUAAGUAAGACAAAAAUAAUAAAUCACAAGAAAAUGAGAUCAUCUACAGAAGAUGGAAGAAACCAGAAUGGCAAAACAAGAGAAUAAGAAGAGUAGAGUGGGCAAUGUAAGAGUAGCCUUUCCCUGAAUACACCUUACUAUGUAGUCUGACAUGUAGAAUGAAAAGAAUAUUCCACAUCAUACACCCACAAUGCACUAAAUUCACUCAGGCUGCUGGGGGAACCAAAAAUAU